CUCUCUCAGUUAUACACAUCAAUAACCAUGAAAAGGUAGACUCUCUCUCUCUCAGUUAUACACAUCAACAACCAUGAAAAGGUAGACUCUCUCUCUCAGUUAUACACAUCAAUAACCAUGAAAAGGUAGACUCUCUCUCUCAGUUAUACACAUCAACAACCAUGAAAAGGUAGACUCUCUCUCUCCCUCAGUUAUACACAUCAAUAACCAUGAAAAGGUAGACUCUCUCUCUCUCAGUUAUACACAUCAAUAACCAUGAAAAGGUAGACUCUCUCUCUCAGUUAUACACAUCAACAACCAUGAAAAGGUAGACUCUCUCUCUCUCAGUUAUACACAUCAACAACCAUGAAAAGGUAGACUCUCUCUCUCAGUUAUACACAUCAAUAACCAUGAAAAGGUAGACUCUCUCUCUCUCUCAGUUAUACACAUCAAUAACCAUGAAAAG
rnacentral:lncRNA from 1 species